UCCCUCUUAGCUCAGUUGGUAGAGCGCGUCACUAGUAUUGUCACCUGAUCGACGAGGUUAAUGACGAGGUCAGUCGUUCAAAUCGGCUAGCGGGAA